rnacentral:rRNA from 1 species
AUUGAACGCUGGCGGCAUGCCUUACACAUGCAAGUCGAACGGUAACGCGGGGCAACCUGGCGACGAGUGGCGAACGGGUGAGUAAUAUAUCGGAACGUGCCCAAUAGUGGGGGAUAGCCCGGCGAAAGCCGGAUUAAUACCGCAUGAGACCUGAGGGUGAAAGCGGGGGAUCGCAAGACCUCGCGCUAUUGGAGCGGCCGAUAUCAGAUUAGGUAGUUGGUGGGGUAAAGGCCUACCAAGCCUGCGAUCUGUAGCUGGGCUGAGAGGAUGACCAGCCAAACUGGGACUGAGACACGGCCCAGACUACUACGGGAGGCAGCAGUGGGGAAUUUUGGACAAUGGGCGCAAGCCUGAUCCAGCCAUGCCGCGUGCGGGAAGAAGGCCUUCGGGUUGUAAACCGCUUUUGUCAGGAAAGAAAUCUUCUGGGUUAAUACCUCGGGAGGAUGACGGUACCUGAAGAAUAAGCACCGGCUAACUACGUGCCAGCAGCCGCCGUAACAC